GUCACAAACUGUGACAUAGUCAACAAUUGGAUAUGUCAAAAAAAAGAAAAAUAAACGACUUUUUCGUUUGUGUUUCGAAAAAAGACAGUCAUGAAACACACAGUGAUGCCAGUGCAGGAUGCUCAUCUGAACCCAUACAUUUACAGACAUCUGAACCCGUGCAAGUGCAGAUGUCAAAGGCAAACGAAGAAUCCAACCAUGUUGUGGAUAGUUGUAGUGGUACUAGUACAGAAAACUCUAAACCUGAGGGACCAAAACAACAAACAUGUACACCACCCACAGAUGUCAAUGAAACAAAAGCAUGGAGUCCUGAGGAAUGUAGGAAUGCAUUGACCACCCUGUUCGACUCAUCGAAGAAAGUGCACAAUGUUCAUGUGUGUGGCAAGACGGACUGCACUUCCAUCAGUCAUCAAGAAGAACAACGUUUAACCCCCAAGAAAUUUCAACAUAAUUGGAUGACAGCGAAAAGAUGGUAUUUGUGUUCCAUAGAGGGAGAGGGGAUGUACUGUUUGCCGUGUAGG